CCUACGGGAGGCUGCAGUGAGGAAUAUUGGUCAAUGGACGAGAGUCUGAACCAGCCAAGUAGCGUGAAGGAUGACUGCCCUAUGGGUUGUAAACUUCUUUUAUAUGGGAAUAAAAUGUUCCACGUGUGGGAUAUUGUAUGUACCAUAUGAAUAAGGAUCGGCUAACUCCGUGCCAGCAGCCGCGGUAAUACGGAGGAUCCGAGCGUUAUCCGGAUUUCGUGGGUUUAAAGGGAGCUGAGGUGGAUCGUUAAGUCAGUUGUGAAAUGUUGCGGCUCAACCGUAAAAUUGCAGUUGAAACUGGCAGUCUUGAGUACAGUAGAGGUGGGCGGAAUUCGUGGUGUAGCGGUGAAAUGCUUAGAUAUCACGAAGAACUCCGAUUGCGAAGGCAGCUCACUGGACUGCAACUGACACUGAGGCUCGAAAGUGUGGGUAUCAAACAGGAUUAGAUACCCUUGUAGUC
rnacentral:rRNA from 1 species